UUAAAUAGCAUGUUCUUCGCACGUAUGCUACAUACAAUUCAAUUCAGUAGCAAAAUCAUAUCAUAUUUAAAAACAGCAUAAUUUUAGAUUUUCUGAUAUACAGGCUCACGCGCAGGAGAUAACAAAUAUUUUUUCCGGACGGUCUUGCCAUCUUUCGCUUUUAAAACGUUGAGUUCAUUAACAAAAAAAAAAAAAAAAAAAAAAAAAAAAAAUCUGAAAGAUUUCAAAUCAUAACGGUCGCCUGAAAGGGUUCGUUAAAGAUUUGUACGCUCUCGCUGAACUCUCAGUCCACCAGUCUGCUGUUACACUGAUUUCUUACUCACCCAUUUUUUUGUCUUUUUAGGUUUAUUAUUAAGUAUCAUUUUCUUUGCACUUACGUCAUGUACAAACAUGUACAACAGCAAAAUAAAGUUCCAAGCCAAGAACAGCCAGCUACAACCAGGACACAUUUACUAGAUGCGGCUUCUAAGAGGAAAGCAAAUAGGAUCUCAGCCAAAAAGCACAAGACCAACGCAGGUGAGAAGCGGAAAACAAAGAAGCAACCAGAGUACCACUACUGCUCAGCCGUAAGGAAGCUACAACGUUCGGACGAAGAUCCAGAACAAACAGAGUACCAUUAGCGGUCAGCGGCAAGGAAGCUACAACGUUCGACCAAAACCAGGGCGACCAGAAUACCACUAGCGGUCAGCGAAAAGGAAUCUACUACAGUUCGCGAAAGAGACAAGAGGGUUCUCCAGCAAGCGGCAGAGAACGAACCAUGUGGAACAAGCAGCAAAACGCACGGCAUCACCCCGCAGACAUCGUAUGUAAGAGCCGAGUGGAGAAAGAAACCACCUCCGGAGGAUACUUUCCCUAGGAAGUCAAGAAGAAUAGAAGAGCGUGCCAUGAAACGAAAAUUGGGCACGAGCCUGAAUAGCAAGGACAGGCAACACGCCAGAGAAAAGCAACGACAGCCACAUAUCCGACCACAUACCCGAAAUGGGUAUGUUUGCAGAACGCACAAUAUCCGCUAGUACGGUGUGUUAAUGUCUGCAGCAGCGUUAACUAUCAGCACGGCGACCAUUACUUCGAGUUCCCUUGACAAUGCAGCAAAAAACGAGACGGAGCCUUUAGUGCGCCGGACUACAAAGCUGGAUACGGAGUGGCACAAUAUGGUCUUUUCAGACGAGUCCAGGUUCUGCGUGCAGUAUUCUGAUGGCCGUAUACGCGUCUGAAGGCUUCGAAGAGACCGCACCUCACCGGCUUGCAUUUGAUAUCGGCAUAUGGACCCUGCACCUGGUAUGAUAGUUAGGGAAGUCAUUGGGUUUAAGGCACGCAGAUCUCUAGUUUGGAUCGACGGGAACGCAGAUCGGUACAUUUCUGACAUCUUACGUCCAGGGGUUGUGCUCUAUCUUCGAGGCCUGCCAAACCCCAUCUUCAAACAAGAUAAUGCAAGACCACAUGUUGCAUAUCGUGUUCUGACCUUCCUCGACACACAGGGUAUUCGAUUGCUGCCUUGAUCUGCACUGUCCCCAGAUCUGUCAACCACUGAAAGCAUCUCUUCAUGGGUUGCUGAGAAACUGCCCGCCACCCCUAUCUAGCUAAUACGGUUAACGAAGUUUGAUAUAGACUUGAAGUAGCAUGAAUGAGUUGCCCGUUUCUUUCGUUCAAACCCAGUUAGACUCAAUGACUUACCAUUAAGGGUAAUGUAAGGACCGUUUAAGCUGCCAAGGGUGGCAGCUGUUUCUAAGAAUUUCGCAACCCUGUAAACAUCCAGACCGCUUACAAGUUUGAUCAUUUUUUCUUCAUGCCGUAAUGUUUUAUGUACAAUAAAUAACUUUUUUUGUAUUUGCUUUAGUUUAUGGUGUUGCAAUUUUAAUGGCCAACAGUGUAUUAUAAUUUGGAAUUUUACUACAAUUUCUUCUUUGAGCCGUUUUUACCAGAAUGCAGUUUACUUACUCAGCUGCGGAUUUGAAUGUUUCAAAGGUGGAGGUACUGCCUCGUUCGCAAUUACAUACUGUCGCCAGGUCUUCCAAUGUUUAUUCCAGCUUUAGCCAUUUUUCCAUUUCAAGUAUUCGAAAAAUACUUGAGCCAGCUUAAGUAGACUAUUUUGUGUGUAGUUUAAGACUAUGCUACUUUAAUUUAAGCUUUCGUUUUUGUAUUAUUUUAGAUACCCGAAAGUGCUGGAAUUUCUGCUGUAGAGCAAGCAAUGCCAUCUGUUAAUUUCAAGAGUUCAAAAAAAAAAAAAAAAAAAAAAAAAAAAAAAAAAAACUCAUUUUAAUCUUCUUCAAACUUUGUCAUCUUAAUUCAGAUUGCAACGAAAACUCGCUUGACAGUCUAGUACGGACUUGAAGAAUAGUUAAUUAAACUUCCAGGUAUAGUAAUACCCUAUUAUCAUAAUGCAAACAACAUACGUUUAUCGUAAAUAUCUCUUAUCAUUUACAUUAUUUUGCAAAAGUUAUACAUAAAUGUUAAAUUUGACCUAAUGAACAAAAUAAUCUUGAAUUUUGAGAAAUUGUUGCAUUGAAAAAUAACCGAGUUGAAAUCAUACUCAGGAGGAACUGCCCGAAAAUUAAGAUCUUAUCUUUAACUGGUAAACGAUUUUAAUGCCAGCUAUAUUUCUAAAAAUAAUUGUUCCCCUUUUUUCUACGCAUCGUAAUAAAAAACUGGAAUACAACACGAAAUACCUGAUCGAAGAGCAAACAAACAAAACAACAAAGUAUUUUUCCGAGAUACACCUAUUACAACAGUUCCGCAGUGCUUCAUCAUCAAUUCAUACCUCCAAUCAUCUCACAUAUCCGAUGACAAAAGAGCAAACAAUUAUCAAACAAUUUUAAGAGUCCAGCUGUUGCAAAGAAAACUCACGUAUAUCAUUUUCUUCAACAUGAUAUUAAAUUUUAUGCAUCAUCUUGGACAAUAAAUACCGCAACAGUUCUCCAGUGCUACAUACGCAUAUCUUCGAUCAUUUCUGCUCUACUCCGUAGAACUACUGUGACCGAGCCGAGAAAAUAACGGAAAACCAUUGCGAUGGAAGCUUACCUAGUGCACUUAAUGGUUCUCGUCGCAUUUCUGGCUGCAAUUUUAUCCGCGUCUGAAGCACAAGAUAGCCAGAUGAAGGAUGCUCCGUUUCGAGGCAUUCUUGAUUCUCACGAUGGUGAAGUUAAUAGGCUACUAUAAAAUUCAAGAUUAGACUUCACUCUAUAGUGAAAUCCAAAGAAUACCUGAUAUUCGCUAAGAGUCCCUAUUUAACAAACGAUUGUGAAAUCGAUAUUCUUUGCAAAAUUUAUGUCUAGAUUCAAAUAAAACAAUUAUCAAAUUAAAA